rnacentral:lncRNA from 1 species
AGCUCCAAUUCGACCCCUAGCCUGGAAACUUCCAUAUGCCACAGGUGCAGCCCUAAAAAAAAAAAAAAAAAAAAAAAAAAAAUCAACACAUUACGAUAUGUAUGAUGUGCUUACAGGAAGGAGUCAAGCUGAAGAGCAAGAAUCUGGCACAAAGUACAUUACAUCCGGCCUUGCAUACCGAGUUUACCAUAAAGCGCGGUCUCGAGUGAAGCAAAGACUGCUGCGAGGCCCAGCAUAGGUGUCGAAUCCUUGAAAAGAAUCUCCUGUGCUUUGGUAAGUUUUUUACAUGUGAAAAACAUUUUAUAAUGAACAAAGUGCUUCCAUACACACUAACCAAUCCUGACAAUUUCGUGAUGCACACAGUCUUAUCUCAAGUUUACUAAUUCAGAAAGGCUUUCACUUGCCCAAGAUUAAAGUCUGGCAGGACUGAGGUUGAAACCCAGGUCUUUUGUCAUUCUAAUUUUCUCUUAACCUCUCAUAGCUGGUUACUCAUUUGGUUUUCAGCCACCUAGACACUAGUUAGAGAGUGGUUUGAAAAGGGGUCAUGAGUAGUUCAAGUGCAGGGAAGCUGUAUCUUCCAUUUUAAAUUGGUUAAUUGACAUUCUAGAUUAUAAAUCAGCCUCCUGUGACUGUGAGUUGUGUGACUCAAUACCCUAGGGACCCAUUAUCAGUGGAUGAGCUGACAAAAUUGAGUUUUUGAACUUGUAAAGCUGAGGAUCAGUGCCUAAGUCAUUGCUUCUCAUGGGGCUGGCAGAAUAGAGAGAGCUUCCCUAGAGGGGCAUGUUAAAAUCACAUUUUAUUGUUGUUUAAUCAACAUAUCUUCCCUACAGAUUCUGAGUUGCCAUCCUAGGGGUGUGCACUGCUUCGUGGUUGAGAAUCAUGGCAACAGUGAACCUCUGUCACUGAUGAGAAGCUCUAAGUGUGGAAAAUGGCUGAGCCCCACUGCCCUCGGCUACCAUGGCCUUACAAGUUUUAGACGUGCUCUGAGGUCAAGUUAGCACAGCCCCAGAUUCUCCUUCUCUAAGAUCCAGAUAUGGUAUAUCUUAAAUGCUGGCAAACACCAGAGCUCUAGCUUUGGGGGCUUUGUAAGGACCGAAAAAGUAGCACCCAGUUCUGCAACUAGGUUCUUAAGAGGUAAGAUAAAAAGCAGAUGAAGAAACAAAAUACUGAUUUUUUUUUUUUUUUUUUUUUGGUUGCACCUGCAACAUUCCCUGGCCAGGAAUGAAACCCACACUAUAGUAGUGACAAUGCUGGGUCCUUAACCUGUUCUGCCACAAGGGAACUCCACAGUAUCACUUUUGUUACCAGUAGGUUAGAAGAUAGAGCUUUAUGUGAUAGCCUGAAUGGGCUUACUCAUUUCUUGUCCUAAGGAAAAGUGUGAGUAUACAGAGCAGGUACUCACCAAAGCUGCUCCUUCCUACUGGUCAAGUUGAGAAGAGAGAAUGAAUCCUCCACAUUCAAUCUAUUGAACUUUGAUUAGUUCCACCGAAAUGAGAAACAUGCACCAAAGGCAAUUAUCCAUCAACUAGAUAAUUCAUUCAACCUGCAUGAGGACGAGCAGGGAGCAGAGCAACAGACUAAGAGCAUUAUGUUUAUUAAACUCCCUAUAGGAGUUUCCACUGUGGCUCCGCAGAAAUGAGCCCAACUAGUAUCCAUGAGGAUGCGGGUUCGAUCCCUGGCCUCCAUCAGUGGGUUAAGGAUCCGGCAUUGCCAUGAGCUGUGGUGUAAGUCACAGAUGUGGCUCGGAUCCCACGCUGCUGUGGCUGUGGUAUGGGCUGGCAGCUGUAGCUCCAAUUCGACCCCUAGCCUGGGAACUUCCAUAUGCCGAGGGUGCAGCCCUAAAAAGCAAAAAGCAAAAACGACAACAACAAAGAGGAAGGGUGUUCUGGCAUCAGGUACAAGAUGUAUUUUCUGAGAAUGGGCAGGAAAGUUGGGACAUAAAUAAGGAAGCUGUAUGAAAUAAUCAAGGCACAAGAUGUGACCAUAAAAUGAAAAUUGAGUUAUAAGAAAUAUGUUGUUACUUCCUAUGGUACAAACAGAAAGAGCAGGGCCGGGGACAGUCCCAGAAGACUUGAAAUUAAGGCUCAACUCUGCUACUUCAUAGUUGCUCCUAUGCAAUUUUGCCUCAGUUUCCUAACCUGAAUUAAUCAAUUCAAAUUUAAGGAUCACUUGAAAUAUGACCCUGCAAAGGCACUGUAUGUAGAUCACCACCAGAGACAAUUUAGUCUCUUUCAAUAUGAUCAUUGUACUCAAUGAUUUUUUUCUCAUUGUUAUUGCAUUAUGGAGAUGUGGAAUCAGGUCCUUGCACUGCCUGCGGCCUGUAGUACAGCAGACAGCCUGUCCUUGACUUGCUAUUAUUGGCUGCAAUGGGGAUGCUUUUAAACUUCACUGUUAGGUAUGUUCAUUUGUUAAGAGUUGCAGCAAAUGCCGUGUAGCAGAUUAAGGAUGCUCCCUUCUGCCACCGGUUUGCUAAAUUAAAAAAAAAAAAAACUCCUGUGUAUUGUUUAAAAAACCAAACCAUCUUUUUGCAUUUACUGAGAUGAUCCUAUAGUUAGUCUCCAUUGUUAGUGUAGUGAAAUGCAUUGUAAGACUUCAAAUACUGAACCACUGCUGUUCCUAGAGUAAAUCCUACUUCGGCAUGAUGACUUAACAUGGGGGAGAUGGCCUAGGUAAGAAACCCAGGUUCCAGUUAUCUUUCAGUCUCAUGGCUUUGAGAACCAACUUAUAUGCUGAUGACUUCCAAAUUUGUAUCUUCAGCCCCAACUACUCCCCUGAAUAUCACCCCCUCUAUAUCCAACAGAUUUUACAUUUCCUCCUGUUGGAUGUCUAAGAGGAACCUCGAACUUAUGACAGAAAAUAAAUUAAACCUGUUGCCCCCCCCCCCCAUCUCUGUUAAUGGAAAUUUCACCCUUCCAGUUGCUCAGGCCAAAAAUCUUGAAGUUGGAGUUCCUGCUGUGGUGCAGUGGGUUAACAAUCCACUUGCAGCAGUUUGGGUCGCUGAGGUGGUGUGGGUUUAAUCCUUGGCCUGGAGCAGUGGGUUAAAGCACCCAGCGUUGCUGCAGCAGCAGUGUAGGUCACAACUGCACCUCAGAUUCAAUCCCUGGCUUGAGAACCCCCAUGUGCCACAGAUGCGGCCAUUAAAAGACAAAACCAAACCAAACAAAAAUCUUGAAGUUGUUUUUGACUCCUCUCUCACUGCACAUUAGGUUGGCAAAUACUGUUGCCUCUGCUUUCAAAAUGCAUCCAGAUUCUGACCAUUUCUCACAAGUUCCACUGCUAUAAGUAGCCUCCUACAGGUCCACCUGCUUUUGCAUUUAUUUGCCUUUUCCACAGCUACUCUCAACACAAGAUCCCAAGGGAUCCUUCCCAAACUCAGGUAAGAGCACGCCAUUCCUCUGCGAAACAUCCCCCAGUGGUUUGCCAUUACAGAGUAAAGCCAAAAUUCCUAUAUUGGUCUACAAGGCCCUCUACCAUCCUGGCCCCUCCUCUCCUCUUACUUCAUCUCCUCUCCACUUCUCCACAUUCACUCUGCUCCAGCCUCGAGACUUUUGCCUCUCUGCUUAGAAAGUUCCUUCUUCUUAUUGUCACUCAAACGUCACCUUCUCCAAGACCUGUUCUGACUAUCCUGUUUUAAAUUCCAACAACUUUCCUCCAGUAGUUAGUGCUCUCUAUCCUUUCCUCCCUACUUAAUUUUUCUUCCAGCGCUAAUCAUCCCACACACCACAUUUUGCUCACCCAUCAAUCAGCCUUCAGUAGAAUGCAAGCUCUGUGAGGGCAGGGAUUCAUUGAUAUGGCCAUGGAAUAGUACCAUGAGCUGUAGUGUAGGCCACAGGCAUGGCUUGGAUCCCGUGUUGCUGUGGCUGUGGCUAUGGCCAGCAGCUGCAGCUCUGAUAUGACCCCUAGCCUGGGAACUCUCAUAUGCCA